rnacentral:rRNA from 1 species
GAGACGCUGGCGGCGUGCUUAACACAUGCAGUCGAACGGCAACGCGGGCUUCGGCCUGGUGACGAGUGGCGAACGGGUGAGUAAUGCCUCUUUUCGCGCCCAGUAUUGGGGGAUAACGCAGCGAAAGCUGUGCUAAUACCGCAUACGCUCUGAGGAAGAAAGCGGGGGACCGUACGACCUCGCGCUAUUCGAGCGGCCGAUGUCUGAUUAGCUAGUUGGUGGGGUAAAGGCCCACCGAGGCGACGAUCACUAGCGGGUCUGAUAGGAUGAUCCGCCCCCCUGGGACUGAGACACCGCCCAGACUCCUACGGGAGGGAGCAGUGGGGAAUUUUGGACAAUGGGCGCGAGCCUGAUCCCGCCGUGCCGCGUGUCUGAAGAGGGGCUUCGGGUUGUAGGCCUUUUGACACAAAACAAACAAAAACCC